rnacentral:rRNA from 1 species
GGAUGAACGCUGGCGGCGUGCUUAACACAUGCAAGUCGAACGAUGAAAGCGGGAGCUUGCUCCUGCUGGAUUAGUGGCGAACGGGUGAGUAACACGUGAGUAACCUGCCCUUGACUCUGGGAUAAGCGUUGGAAACGACGUCUAAUACCGGAUACGACCUUCGGAGGCAUCUCCUGGGGGUGGAAAGAAUUUCGGUCAAGGAUGGACUCGCGGCCUAUCAGCUAGUUGGUGAGGUAAUGGCUCACCAAGGCGACGACGGGUAGCCGGCCUGAGAGGGUGACCGGCCACACUGGGACUGAGACACGGCCCAGACUCCUACGGGAGGCAGCAGUGGGGAAUAUUGCACAAUGGGCGCAAGCCUGAUGCAGCAACGCCGCGUGAGGGACGACGGCCUUCGGGUUGUAAACCUCUUUUAGUAGGGAAGAAGCGAAAGUGACGGUACCUGCAGAAAAAGCACCGGCUAACUACGUGCCAGCAGCCGCGGUAAUACGUAGGGUGCAAGCGUUAUCCGGAAUUAUUGGGCGUAAAGAGCUCGUAGGCGGUUUGUCACGUCUGCUGUGAAAACUGGAGGCUCAACCUCCAGCCUGCAGUGGGUACGGGCAGACUAGAGUGCGGUAGGGGAGAUUGGAAUUCCUGGUGUAGCGGUGGAAUGCGCAGAUAUCAGGAGGAACACCGAUGGCGAAGGCAGAUCUCUGGGCCGUAACUGACGCUGAGGAGCGAAAGCAUGGGGAGCGAACAGGAUUAGAUACCCUGGUAGUCCAUGCCGUAAACGUUGGGAACUAGAUGUAGGGACCAUUCCACGGUUUCUGUGUCGCAGCUAACGCAUUAAGUUCCCCGCCUGGGGAGUACGGCCGCAAGGCUAAAACUCAAAGGAAUUGACGGGGGCCCGCACAAGCGGCGGAGCAUGCGGAUUAAUUCGAUGCAACGCGAAGAACCUUACCAAGGCUUGACAUAUACCGGAAAAGUUCAGAAAUGUUCUCCCCGCAAGGUCGGUAUACAGGUGGUGCAUGGUUGUCGUCAGCUCGUGUCGUGAGAUGUUGGGUUAAGUCCCGCAACGAGCGCAACCCUCGUUCUAUGUUGCCAGCACGUAAUGGUGGGAACUCAUAGGAGACUGCCGGGGUCAACUCGGAGGAAGGUGGGGAUGACGUCAAAUCAUCAUGCCCCUUAUGUCUUGGGCUUCACGCAUGCUACAAUGGCCGAUACAAAGGGCUGCAAUACCGCGAGGUGGAGCGAAUCCCAAAAAGUCGGUCUCAGUUCGGAUUGAGGUCUGCAACUCGACCUCAUGAAGUCGGAGUCGCUAGUAAUCGCAGAUCAGCAACGCUGCGGUGAAUACGUUCCCGGGCCU